GUUUGUUGCGUAAGAUCUUCCGUUUGCUGGGUAAAAUCCUCAGUUUGUUGGGUAAGAUCCUCAGCUUGCUGGGCAAGGUCUGCCGAUUGCUCAAUAACACUCUGUGAUUGUUGACUAAAGUCCUCCGUCUGUUGGGUAAGGUCCUGCGUUUGCUGGGUAAGAUCCUCUGUUUGUUGUGUGAGGUCCUGUGUUUGCUGGGUAAGAUCCUCUGUUUGUUGGGUAAGAUCUCCCAAUUGGUGAAUGACACCCUGCGAUUGUUGACUAAAGUCCUCCGUCUGUUGGGUAGGGUCCUGUGUUUGUUGGGUAAGAUCUCCCGAUUGCUGAAUGACACCCUGCGAUUGUUGACUAAAGUCCUCCGUCUGCUGGGUAAGAUCCUCAGUUUGUUGAGUAAGAUCCUCUGUUUGUUGAGUAAGGUCCUGUGUUUGCUGGGUAAGAUCCUCAGUGUGUUGAGUAAGAUCCUCUGUUUGUUGAGUAAGGUCCUGUGUUUGUUGGGUAAGAUCUCCCGAUUGCUGAAUGAUACCCUGCGAUUGUUGACUAAAGUCCUCCGUUUGUUGGGUAAGGUCCUGUGUUUGCUGGGUAAGAUCCUCUGUUUGUUGGGUAAGAUCUCCCAAUUGGUGAAUGACACCCUGCGAUUGUUGACUAAAGUCCUCCGUCUGCUGGGUAAGGUCCUGUGUUUGCUGGGUAAGAUCCUCCGUUUGUUGAGUAAGAUCCUCUGUUUGUUGGGUAAGAUCUCCCAAUUGGUGAAUGACACCCUGCGAUUGUUGACUAAAGUCCUCCGUUUGUUGGGUAAGGUCCUGUGUUUGCUGGGUAAGAUCCUCUGUUUGUUGGGUAAGAUCUCCCGAUUGCUGAAUGACACCCUG